UUAGCCCUAAACACAAAUAAUUACAAUAACAAAAUUAUUCGCCAGAGUACUACCGGCAACAGCCUAAAACUCAAAGGACUUGGCGGUGCUUUACACCCUUCUAGAGGAGCCUGUUCUAUAAUCGAUAAACCCCGAUAAACCUCACCAGUUCUUGCUAAUACAGUCUAUAUACCGCCAUCUUCAGCAAACCCUAAAAAGGAAUAAAAGUAAGCAUAAUCACAACACAUAAAAACGUUAGGUCAAGGUGUAACCUAUGAAAUGGGAAGAAAUGGGCUACAUUUUCUACCACAAGAAAAUCACACGAAAGUUAUUAUGAAACUAAUAACCAAAGGAGGAUUUAGUAGUAAACUAAGAAUAGA
rnacentral:rRNA from 1 species